rnacentral:rRNA from 1 species
AUGAAGCAUCAUGCCGACCGCAAGCGCACUGAGCGGGAAUUCAGCAUCGGUGAGCAGGUGCUCCUAAAAUUGCAGCCCUACGUGCAGUCCUCUAUUGUCAGCCGGCCAUGCCCCAAGCUUGCUUACAAAUUCUUUGGCCCCUAUAGAAUCAUCAGCCGGGUGGGAUCGAGGGCAUACAAGCUCGAAUUUCCGCCAGAGAGCAAAAUUCACCCUAUUUUUCAUGUUUCGCAGCUGAAGCCAUUCAUGGCGGACUACUCUCCAGUCUUCCAUCAGCUGCCUACGCCACCAGAUCUCACAAUUGGUGACUUGGUGCCUCAAGCCAUCUUGGAGCGUUGUCUGGUCAAGAAGGGAAACGCGGCGAUUCCAUAGGUGCUGGUGCAGUGGCGCACUCUAUCGCCGACCGUGAUGUGGGAGAACUACAACGUCCUCCGACAGCGCUUCCCCGACUUCAAGCUCGACGAGGGGGCUCUGUCCCAAGGAGGGGCAAAUGUCACGCCCUCCUCUCCUCCUGUCACCAGAGAAGAGAAGGCGGACAACGAGGCACUACCAGUGCUACCAGGUGACGAGAAUGACCAGGGCCCACGAGCAGGGAGUGUAGAAUAG